GGAUCAGUACGCCGGUCAUGCCUCUGGUAUGUACUGGUGUCACUGAUUCCUCCCUUCUGACGAACCAUCAUGUCAUUCACUUGGUGCGGUGGGAAAUCAGGACUGUUACUUUGAAAGAAUUAGAGUGUUUAAAGCAGGCUCAUGCUUGAAUACGUUAGCAUGGAAUAAUGAAAUAGGACGUUGACCCUAUUUUGUUGGUUUCUAGGAUUGACGUAGUGAU
rnacentral:rRNA from 1 species